rnacentral:snRNA from 1 species
UUACUUAGUGUGAGCAUAUGUACUGAAAUUGGAAAGAUACAGAGAUUAGCAUGGCCCCUGCGCAAGGAUGACACAAAUUCGUGAAGCGUUCCAUGUUAAA